GUUCAGUUCCCUCUUUGUUAAUGUUUCACAGAUGGUGGCCCUCACUGUGCUGAUGCAUUUUGGCCGCUCGGAUAUUGAUAUACACGAGUAUAAUUAACAUUUUCUCUCACCCCAGGUCGUCUCCAUGAACAAGGUCAGUUUCAGAUCGAGAUCAGAUGGAGUCUCAGGGAGAGAGGCUGGCGGGGACAGGAGUCGUGCCAAGAAGGCAGUAAACGACAAAGGCUCUCGCAGAACUCCUGCUUGAGUCAUGCUUAUUUUGGAUGUGUCCGAAGAGUUCUCAGUAGUCUUGAAAGAACCAUAAAUCCAUAGAAUGCCAGACUUUGAUGACAAAUUAGAUGACAAAAUUUUCCCACAAGGACCACCGCUCCACCUUCCUGUGGUGAGCACAUCACAACAAGGACCUCAAGUCACAUUAGAACGUAUGGACUCCGCCAUUGAGAAGAGAAGAGGAGACAGAGGACAGUCUUGCCGGGUUCCUCUACUCAGGAGAAAUUCUUGGGAACUUAAACCUUUGGUUGGAGACCAUAACUCUGGGACUGGUAAUAAAUCACUUUGACCCAUUUGUUGAAAUUAGCAUCCAUAUUACAUUUUUUGCAAAACAGAGAAUAGAAAAUUCCAUUCCACUCUGUCGAACGCCUUCUCAGCAUCAGCAUCAACAGUAUAGAAGCAGUCUUGUGCUCAUUUACAUGGUUGAUAACAUCAAACGGUCAUCUGACAAUAUCCGAUGAGUACCUGUUUUUUAAUCAGUGGUGUAAAGUACUUAAGUCGUUUUUUGGGUUAUCUGUUCGAUUUACUAUUUAUAUUUUUGACAACUUUUACUUUACUGCAUUCCUAAAAAUAAAAAAUAUUGCACUUUUUACUCCAAACAUUAUCCCUGCCAACCAAAAGUACUUUGGAACAGGGAAAUGAUCAAAUUCUCGCACUUAUCAAGAGAACUCUGGCCUGGCAGACUCACUAAACACAAAUGCAUCUUUUGUAAAUAAUGUCUGAGUGUUGGAGUGUACCCCUGGCUAUCCUUACGUUUUAAAAACAAGAAAAUGUUGCUGUCUUGUAAAUGUUUAUACUUUCACUUUUAAUACUUAAGUAUAUUUCAGCAAUUACAUUAUGGUUUCCUAUUGGAUAUUGAUAGUAUAAUUUAAAACAACUGAUAUUCCCAUUCAAGUCAACACUCUCUGAUGUGUGGACCAACCAUCUUUAUGCUACCAUUUGAAAUGUGAAAUGUCCAUUUUAUUCCCAUUUCAAUACAUUUACCAGCCAGAACAUGACAUCCACCAGCCAGAACAUGACAUCCACCAGCCAGAACAUGACAUCCACCAGCCAGAACAUGACAUCCACCAGCCAGAACAUGACAUCCACCAGCCAGAACAUGACAUCCACCAGCCAGAACAUGACAUCCACCAGCCAGAACAUGACAUCCACCAGCCAGAACAUGACAUCCACCAGCCAGAACAUGACAUCCACCAGCCAGAACAUGACAUCCACCCUGUAUUCAAGAGCACGCUGUGUCUCAUCCAAUGGAGGGCACAACAGUAACACCUCAGAUUAUGUCAAAUAGGGCCAAAGCUACAACAUAUGCAAAAAUGGAAAAAAACAUCUGAUUCCACACGUUUUUAGACAAUAUAAUAAAGGUUAAAAAACGACAUACUUGUUAUGAAAACUGUUUUUUUUUUCAAGAAAUUAUCAAAUAGUUUAGCAACCCUUUUUGUAAACGUUUUCAAAUUGAAGUGAUGAAGACAUGGAUGUCUCAUGUUAGGGUCGGGUAUGCAAAAUGAGUCAACUUUGAGCACCUCUAUCUCCUAAAUGUUUUGACAUUCAGGUCCAAAAAGUUACUUUCUGACCACUUCUAACAUGGGCAAAAUUGUAUGGAAAGUUUUGUUCAAUAACACCCUUUGGAGCAAUCGUCUUUUACUGUUAAAAAUAAAAUUUUGUAAAGUAUCACACUUGGUGUUCCUUCUACGCCCCCUGCUGGCGGCAACAGGCAUAAACAAUUCCCAAUGGAAAUCGUUCGAGGACUC